rnacentral:rRNA from 1 species
GACGAACGCUGGCGGCGUGCUUAACACAUGCAAGUCGAACGGAAAGGCCUCUUUCGGGGGGUACUCGAGUGGCGAACGGGUGAGUAACACGUGAGUAACCUGCCCUUGACUUUGGGAUAACUUCAGGAAACUGGGGCUAAUACCGGAUAGGAGCUCCUGCUGCAUGGUGGGGGUUGGAAAGUUUCGGCGGUUGGGGAUGGACUCGCGGCUUAUCAGCUUGUUGGUGGGGUAGUGGCUUACCAAGGCUUUGACGGGUAGCCGGCCUGAGAGGGUGACCGGCCACAUUGGGACUGAGAUACGGCCCAGCAUCCUACGGGAGGCAGCAGUGGGGAAUAUUGCACAAUGGGUGGAAGCCUGAUGCAGCAACGCCGUGUGCGGGAUGACGGACUUCGGGUUGUAAACCGCUUUCGCUCAUGACGAAGCUUUGUGUGACGGUAGUGGGUAAAGAAGCACCGGCUAACUACGUG